CCUACGGGAGGCAGCAGUGAGGAAUAUUGGUCAAUGGGCGAGAGCCUGAACCAGCCAAGUCGCGUGAGGGAAGACGGUCCUAUGGAUUGUAAACCUCUUUUGCCGGGGAGCAAAAAGCGGUACGUGUACCGCAUCGAGAGUACCCGGAGAAAAAGCAUCGGCUAACUCCGUGCCAGCAGCCGCGGUAAUACGGAGGAUGCGAGCGUUAUCCGGAUUUAGUGGGUUGAAAGGGUGCGCAGGCGGCGAGUUAAGUCAGCGGUAAAAUUUCGGGGCUCAACCCCGGCGAGCAGUUGAAACUGGCUUGCUAGAGAGUAGGAGCGGUAGGCGGAAUGUAUGGUGUAGCGGUGAAAUGCGUAGAGAUCAUACAGAACACCGAUGGCGAAGGCAGCUUACCAGGCUACUUCUGACGUUGAGGCACGAAAGCGUGGGGAGCAAACAGGAUUAGAUACCCUAGUAGUC
rnacentral:rRNA from 1 species